rnacentral:rRNA from 1 species
AGAGUUUGAUCAUGGCUCAGGAUGAACGCUGGCGGCGUGCCUAACACAUGCAAGUCGAACGGAACUACUCAGACAGAACUCUACGGAGGGAAGACAGAGCAGUUUAGUGGCGGACGGGUGAGUAACGCGUGAGUAACCUGCCCUUAAGAGGGGGAUAACGUUCUGAAAAGGACGCUAAUACCGCAUAACAUAGAGAUGCCGCAUGACAUCACUAUCAAAACCGAGGUGCUUAAGGAUGGACUCGCGUCCGAUUAGUUAGUUGGUGAGGUAACGGCUCACCAAGACGGCGAUCGGUAGCCGGACUGAGAGGUUGAACGGCCACAUUGGGACUGAGACACGGCCCAGACUCCUACGGGAGGCAGCAGUGGGGGAUAUUGCGCAAUGGGGGAAACCCUGACGCAGCAACGCCGCGUGAAGGAAGACGGUUUUCGGAUUGUAAACUUCUUUUGUUGAGGACGAAAAGAUGACGGUACUCAACGAAUAAGCUCCGGCUAACUACGUGCCAGCGGCCGCGGUAAUACGUAGGGAGCAAGCGUUAUCCGGAAUUACUGGGUGUAAAGGGUGCGUAGGCGGCCGAGUAAGUCAGAUGUGAAAAUUAUGGGCUCAACCCAUAACCUGCAUUUGAAACUAUUCGGCUUGAGUGAAGUAGAGGCAGGCGGAAUUCCCUGUGUAGCGGUGAAAUGCGUAGAGAUAGGGAGGAACACCAGUGGCGAAGGCGGCCUGCUGGGCUUUAACUGACGCUGAGGCACGAAAGCGUGGGUAGCAAACAGGAUUAGAUACCCUGGUAGUCCACGCUGUAA